GGGGAAUAUUGGACAAUGGGCGAAAGCCUGAUCCAGCAAUACCGCGUGUGUGAAGAAGGCCUUAGGGUUGUAAAGCACUUUCAAUUGGAAGGAAAAAUUCGUAGCUAAUAUCUACGAACUUGACAUUACCUUUAGAAGAAGCACCGGCUAACUCCGUGCCAGCAGCCGCGGUAAUACGGAGGGUGCAAGCGUUAAUCGGAAUUACUGGGCGUAAAGCGUGCGUAGGCGGCUCGUUAAGUCAGAUGUGAAAGCCCUGGGCUCAACCUGGGAACUGCAUUUGAAACUGGCGAGCUAGAGUUUGAGAGAGGUAAGUGGAAUUUCAGGUGUAGCGGUGAAAUGCGUAGAGAUCUGAAGGAACACCAGUGGCGAAGGCGACUUACUGGCUUAAAACUGACGCUGAGGUACGAAAGCGUGGGUAGCAAAC
rnacentral:rRNA from 1 species